rnacentral:rRNA from 1 species
AAGCUCGUAGUUGAAUUUCGGGGUUAAGUAGGUUGGUCAUGCCUCUGGUAUGUACUGGUCUCACUGAUUCCUCCUUCCUUAUGAACCGUAAUGCCAUUAAUUUGGUGUUGCGGGGAAUUUGGACUGUUACUUUGAAAAAAUUAGAGUGUUUAAAGCAAGCUAACGCUUGAAUACAUUAGCAUGGAAUAAUGAAAUAGGACGUUCGAUCUUAUUUCGUUGGUUUUCUAGGAUUGACGUAAUGAUUAAUAGGGAUAGUUGGG